rnacentral:rRNA from 1 species
AGGUAAAGGUGCAAAGGGCACACGGGGGAUGCCUGGGCAGCAGGAGGCGAAGAAGGGCGUGGCAAGCUGCGAAAAGCCGCGGGUAGGUGCAAGCGACCGUUGAACCGCGGAUACCCGAAUGGGGGAACCCGGCUGGUAGAGAUACCAGUCAUCGCUAAGUGCGAGGCGAACCCGGUGAAGUGAAACAUCUCAGUAACCGGAGGAAGAGAAAUCAAAAGAGAUUCCCUGAGUAGUGGCGAGCGAAAGGGGAGGAGCCUAAACCGUGCCAGUGUAGAAGUCUGUGGGCGUUGCUGGUACGGGGUAGAGGGACACAGCUGGGCGUAGCCACAGAUACGCCGGUGUACCGUAGCGUCUAGCUGAAAGGUCUGGGAAGGCCUGCCGGAGAGGGUGAAAGCCCCGUAGGCGAAAGGCGUGAAGGGCACUGGGCAGUGAUCCCGAGUAGCGCGGGGCACGAGGAAUCCCGCGUGAAUCAGGGGGGACCACCCUCCAAGGCUAAAGACUCCCUGCUGACCGAUAGAGGAACAGUACCGUGAGGGAAAGGUGAAAAGCACCCCGGGAGGGGAGUGAAAGAGUACCUGAAACCGUGUGCCUACAAGAAGUGGGAGCCCGAGAGGGUGACCGCGUGCCUUUUGAUUAAUGAGCCUGCGAGUUAUCGUAGCUGGCGAGGUUAAGCCGGGGGAGGCGAAGCCGAAGGGAAACCGAGUCUGAAGAGGGCGAGAGUCAGUUGCGAU